rnacentral:rRNA from 1 species
UACAGAGGGUGCUAGCGUUGUUCGGAAUUACUGGGCGUAAAGGGCUCGUAGGCGGCCAACUAAGUCAGACGUGAAAUCCCUCGGCUUAACCGGGGAACUGCGUCUGAUACUGGAUGGCUAGAGGUUGGGAGAGGGAUGCGGAAUUCCAGGUGUAGCGGUGAAAUGCGUAGAUAUCUGGAGGAACACCGGUGGCGAAGGCGGCAUCCUGGACCAAUUCUGACGCUGAGGAGCGAAAGCCAGGGGAGCAAACGGG